rnacentral:rRNA from 1 species
UACGUAGGGUGCAAGCGUUGUCCGGAAUUAUUGGGCGUAAAGAGCUCGUAGGCGGUUUGUCGCGUCUGCUGUGAAAACUCGGGGCUUAACUCCGGGCCUGCAGUGGGUACGGGCAGACUAGAGUGCGGUAGGGGAGACUGGAAUUCCUGGUGUAGCGGUGAAAUGCGCAGAUAUCAAGAGGAACACCGGUGGCGAAGGCGGGUCUCUGGGCCGUAACUGACGCUGAGGAGCGAAAGCGUGGGGAGCGAACAGG